GUCUGUUAUUGGUGCAGAAAGAGGGAGUUUACUACAGGCAAAAUGGUUUUUCUUUUUUUGUGCUGUUUUGCCUCUGGGUCUGGGUAAUGCUGCUUUGCUCAGUGGGACCCUUUGUCACAAACUCUGCUCUGAGCCGAGCAGUGAUGAAACAUUAAAGAGCACCUUCAAAAGCUCCACCACCCAACAGAGCGAUGGUGGUUGUGAUAAGAGCAGUAAUUAGGUUCUUCAGGUUGGUAUUUCAUCCUGUGGUACAAGAGGGGCAGUGCCGAUGGAGCAGAAGGUGAAAAGUCAGAUGCCAAAUUCCCAGGAUUUUAGUUUCGAUGAGCAUCUGCCUCUCGCUCACGGAGGAUCUGAUUCACGCUGUUCUGCUGGGAGGAACGAGCAGCAGCUCCGGGGCGUUGUUCAAGGGUUUGGGCAGCUGCAGGGAGAAAUUCCAGUUUGGGAAGAGCAGGGGGAGACCCUGACCCUGGCCCGGCCCCACGGAGGUGCAGCGCUGCCGGCAGGAACCCCGGUUCCUCCCCUGUCGAGAUGAGCAUCUGAGCAUCUCCGGUCGGGAGCGCCCGUCCCCGCCGCCUCCCGGCCGCCAGGGAUCACUCUUGUCCCUUCUCCGCUUCCUCACAGCCAAAAUUUCCUCCCUCCCUUUGCCGCUUCUCUGCUCCCGGCUUGUUGCAGCGCAGGAACCGGCCAGAGCAGACGCUGAAAUGCUCCUUUGCACGCGUGUGGCACCGUCAGGAGCGGGACUUUGGGAAAUAUAUUUGCCUUUAUGUUUCAAAUGUUUUUUAAUUUCUAAACAAAGGAGUCCUAAAUAUUCCAUAGGUGUUUAGGUGUGAGAAAUCUUUGUACUAUGUCACAUAAGGUACAAAACCGGCUUCCAGGCCAUCACCUCUUUCCGUCCUGUGGGUGUCUCUGCACAGCUGUGGAUGUCCAACCACCCCUUGGCUGUCUGAAGAGCAGAGGAGCUGAGAACGUCUCCCAUCUCAGCACCCUG